UCCAAUUCUAGAGUUACGAUGAUGCUGGUGUACAGCUGUUUUUGCAACUGAGUGGACUUUCUUGCACCGUAGACAUGUCGUCUCGGCUGACUCGGUUCCUUUUCGUUCGGUAAAGAGAUCAGUCUCAUUUCCUAAACCUUAUAUAGUAGAUCCGACUUGUUUUUGUUCAGAUAUCUCUCUACUUAUCGUCUUCGUUUUUCCACGUAUAGAACCUGUUGCUCCCAGUGUCCAUCAUUUGCCUUGUUCCUAUUCCCUCACCACAAUGGCUGCCUCUCCACGAGCUCUCUCCCUCCUGCUCCUCACCAUGCUUCUCUCCUCUAUGUGCUUGCAAGUAGCCGCGGAUUCCACUAUCCAGAACGUCUCCUCAGUCGACAUGAAGGUGAACGGGAAGGUUUUGAAGAGGAUGGAGAUUCUCACCCUUCGCCUUGUCAAAAGGCAAACUGCUACCAUUACGGUCGAAUUCGCGGCCAAGGUUAGUCAUAUCGUGAUAAAAAACCGUCGCCAGCUCUUCGUGGUGGACAACCAAUUCAACACCGUAGACUUCGGAGACGGCAAGAUUUACAAGACCUUGGACUUGGUGGAAGCGAGAUUGGUCGCCAACUCUUUCUAGAAGGUGUUACAUUUCGAUCACAUGAGAUUGAAGGCUGGCCGACACCUGAAACUAGCCCUGUUGAACUACACCCACACUUCGAAGCUCAUAAAGUAGUCGCGGUAAUAAGUGUCAGGUUCCCGAAGAGUAGUUAAGAAAAAAAACAAAAGGAACUGAAAAGGCCACAGCACUGGACUCAAAACCGGUGGUAUGUGAACGAAGUAUAUAUUCCAGAGAUGAAACUUUCACGCCGUUUCAUGUCUAUGUUUCCCCUCUGUCUCCAAUGUUAAAGCAGUUGUGUGUGGAUCACCUUUCCAAAACACGCCCCAACUGGUCCACAAACUCUCACUUCUGGUCUGUGAGGGAUACUUGCUUGAGCUUUACUGCUACCGACUACCUCGGCAACUUCAAAGCCGAACAGUUUAAAAGUUUUAUCCACUUGGGUCCGUUGGAAAAUCGCAUCUGGCGUCAUAUCCGAGGCUUCUUUGUUCUGAACUUACAUGCCACCUUCCGGAAAUUGAAGAUGAAAGGAAAAUUGCUGAGGAGCAUCUGCUGGAGCGUCCAUUUUGUGCUUAAUUAAGUUGCUGACAAUGUGAUAGUUUAGAAGGAAUUAUAUAGUUGUUCAAGGUGAUUUUGCCAUUUGUAUGUUUUUUUUUUAAAUAAAAGAUGAUCAUUGUUAUGA